GUCGAUUGUUAGAGCUAAGGCCUGUGUUCAAUUUUCCAGGUGGGCACAAUGUGUGAAGCCUAUUUCUAGUGUCCCCAACCGUGAUAUUGCUGGAAUAUUGCUAAAAGCUGCGUAAAACCCAACUCACUCAC